AGUGGGUGGUCCCUCCAUAUAGCGAACAAAUCUUUCGCCUUUUACUAAGGAUUUCCGUGUGGGGGGACAAUGUGCCUUUUUGGGUUACAAUUUUUCCUAACGGCUUUCCCCCGGGUGGGGGAG